GGAGAUUUCAAUUUGGAAAAAAAUGAUUUGAGAUAUCUGAAAAUAUUCAUUCCACACUUCAGGACAUUUUUCUUAUGAAUCUGAGAAAAUAAGUAUCAAGGAAUUAUUCAGUGUCCAAUUAUACUUUUAUGUUAACAUACUUGUUACUAAUUAUUUGGCUUAUUUUGCAGAAUAUUUCAGAGUUGAUAUGCUUGAAAAAGACACAAAGGGGUUUUUAUACAAACAGUGAAUUUUGAUGGAUUAAAAGAGGUAUUUGAUUAAAUUUAAAUGGUAAGAUCAGAAUUAUUGUAAAAUACAAUAUUUGUGGCAAAAUGAACUAAAAUAUCAAAUACUGAGCUUAUGACUGUUUGUAACGAAUGCAAUAACAUUUAUUGGCUUGCAAGCUUCUUGAAAUGUCACAAGAUUAUAAAUACAGUGUCUGUAUGUUUAUUAGAAUUUCCACUUUCAGUAAUUAUUGGUUAUACCAAGCAUCUGUAUAUUAUAAGGCAUGGUAGACAAUUAAUCAAUUAAUUAUGACCUGCACAAGUUGCAGUAGAAUGUAGAGAAAGAUAGAGGCACUACAAUUUCCUCUACCAUAGAUCCCUGACAGAGAAAUUAAAAGGACACUUUAAUGCUAGGAAAACAUUUCCCUCCCUCAAAAUACAAUGCUUUCCUAUGGGGUUUUAGCUGACACUGAAUGUCCUCAUGCAUAGCGUGAGGACAUCCAGUGUCAGUUAGGUCACCUAACCACCUUUAAGUCACGCUAUUGGCUGUCUGGUAGACAGCUACUAGAGGUGGAGUUUACCCUAGCAGGUAAUUAUUGCAGUUUGUUAAAAAUUGCAGUAAUUACCACUGCAGGGCUAAGAGACCUGGGACAAUGCACCCACACAACUUCAAUGCGCUAAAGUGGUCUGGAUGCCCAUAGUGUCACAGUAGGAAAAAUAGCAAAGUGUAAAGUAAGGUUGACUAAAUUUUGAAAUGAAUGGAAACAUGAGUGUAAUAUAUAUGUUGUUAGGGGAGAAGAGGUUAAAGUAGCACAUUCAUUUUUCCUUCUAUCAUAAUUAUUUACUGAAUAAACCCCCAAAAUCUUUAGAACCUGAAUAAAUACCCAUGUUUGCUAUUUCUAAAAGAAAACAUAUUAAAAUCCACAAAACAAAAACAACGUUUACC